GACGAACGCUGGCGGCGUGCUUAACACAUGCAAGUCGAACGGAAAGGCCCUGCUUUUGUGGGGUGCUCGAGUGGCGAACGGGUGAGUAACACGUGAGUAACCUGCCCUUGACUUUGGGAUAACAUCAGGAAACUGGGGCUAAUACCGGAUAGGAUCUCCUGCUGCAUGGUGGGGGUUGGAAAGUUUCGGCGGUUGGGGAUGGACUCGCGGCUUAUCAGCUUGUUGGUGGGGUAGUGGCUUACCAAGGCUUUGACGGGUAGCCGGCCUGAGAGGGUGACCGGCCACAUUGGGACUGAGAUACGGCCCAGACUCCUACGGGAGGCAGCAGUGGGGAAUAUUGCACAAUGGGCGGAAGCCUGAUGCAGCAACGCCGCGUGCGGGAUGACGGCCUUCGGGUUGUAAACCGCUUUCGCCUGUGACGAAGCGUGAGUGACGGUAAUGGGUAAAGAAGCACCGGCUAACUACGUG
rnacentral:rRNA from 1 species